rnacentral:rRNA from 1 species
GCAAGUCGAACGAAGCUAGCAAUAGCUUAGUGGCGGACGGGUGAGUAACACGUGAGCAACCUGCCUUGUACAUUGAUAACACAGAGAAAUUUGUGCUAAUACCGAAUGAGACCACACUACCGCAUGGUAGAGGGGUAAAAGCGAUUUAGCGGUACAAGAUGGGCUCGCGGCCCAUUAGCUAGUUGGUAAGAUAACAGCCUACCAAGGCCACGAUGGGUAGCCGGCUUGAGAGAGUGAUC